CAGUUGGAAAUGCAGAAAUCACCCGUCUUCUGCGUCAAUCACGCUGAGAACUGCAGACCAGAGCUGUUCCUAUUUGGCCAUCUUGGAACCGGUCUGAGUCUGUUUUAGCCAGAUCAAGUACUUGGUGAGAGAACCUUUGUGGGAGCGCAGAAGUCCAGCAGAGAGACCCUAGCACUUUAUUUGGACCAAAAAAUAAAUAAUAAAUAAAUAAAUAAAUAAAUCCAAAACUAGAUGCAUUAAAGAAGCAGACACUUGAAGAAGCAUCUUUCUUGUGAUCUCCUGGCUGGUACCCUGAAGUCCUGUUAUGCCAAUGGACCAGCAACCCUCGCAGGUAGGAAUUACUGCUAGAAAGACUAUCCUCUCUGCAGGCAAAUUUCUGGAAGGAUACUAUUUUAUGGGGAAAAAUGUGAACAACUGUAGGUAAUUUCACAGUCUGUAGGGCUUGUCUCCUAUUUGUAAUUUCUUACAUGUUUACUCGUGGUGGAAAUGUGGAGGUGGCUAAGGAACAAGCAGGCCCGCUGUGUUUCAGUGGCUUUCAGAGAAGGUGGCGGGAAAUAGUCUCUUCUCAGCAGCAGCUGAAUCCCAGUGUUAGCAGACGGAGCCUUGUUUCUUGAAAGUACAUUCCCAGGGAUUCCCUUGAAGAAUGUGAGAGAUCAGCUGGAAUGAAACUGGAUGUUUUAGGGUCCUGAGGGAAAUGUAAAUCCAGCAGCUUAUUCUCAAGAUGUGGCUCCAGAACCAGCAGCACUGAUUCUUCUAAAGAGUUGAGAGUGCAUUUUAGCUGUGAUAUCUUUGUACUCUUAAGAAAUCCUCCUCAACAAGACAAAACUUGACCAAGAGCAUUCAGUUGUCUUCCAGAAGGCUCCCUUGAGGACUGGGACUCUUCCUGGAUGCACCCAAUUAAUCUAUUGAAACAAGGACUCGUGAUGGCAGCCCCUCACCUGACAAACUGGAUUUUCCCCAGAGAUCAUUUGUAAUGUUUUUCCUGAAUCUUAUUUGUGUUUCCCUAUUAGCAAUGUUAUGUAUUUCUAUAUCGCAAAUCCUAAGUGCCGCCUGUAGAACCUAACCUCCAUUUAUAGCAUGGAACACACAGCCCAUCACGUAUCCUUGCCCUGGCCUUCAGCCUCUGAAUAUUUUAAUAAAAAUCACUCUUUCCUCCUUAAGGACCAUGUUCUUUAAAAGCUUAACACAUAGUUCUUAAUAAUUGGUUGCUUUACUUGAUGUUUCUCUGUUUAUCUUGGCUGCCCAGAAGCUCAGACUUAAAUGUAAGAGUCUACUUACAGUAACAACCUUGUUGCGGAUACAAUUAAUUCUCCCUAUCUUGUAUGUGGUUUCCGUUGUCUUUAUUUAUUAUCUUUAUUUAAACCUUUAAAAGAGUAUAGGAUAUCAAUUUAUGAAAAGAAAAAUAUUUUUUUUAGUUCAAUUGAAAUCCCUGUUUUGUACCACACUAUAUUUAAUGCCCCAUAUAGUUCUAAAACUCUGCAUGAUUCAAAGCAGGGGUUCUUAUUCUGGCGUGUGUGUGUGUGUGUGUGUGUGUGUGUGUGUGUGUCUGUAUGUACAUACCUC
rnacentral:lncRNA from 1 species